CGGAGUGUGCCAGCGUUACUCGGAAUCACUGGGCAUAAAGGGCGUGUCGGCGGGCUUUCAAGUCGGUUGUGAAAUCCCUCAGCUCAACUGAGGAACUGCAUCCGAUACUGUUUGUCUUGAGGACGAGAGGGGAGAGUGGAACUUCUGGUGGAGCGGUGAAAUGCGUAGAUAUCAGAAGGAACGCCGGUGGCGAAAGCGACUCUCUGGCUCGUAACUGACGCUGAAACGCGAAAGCUUGGGUAGCAAACGGG
rnacentral:rRNA from 1 species